GGGCCCGCACAAGCGGUGGAGCAUGUGGUUUAAUUCGAUGAUACGCGAGGAACCUUACCAGGGCUUAAAUGUAAGUUGCAUUAGUUAGAGAUAGCUAUUUCUUCGGACCACUUACAAGGUGCUGCAUGGUUGUCGUCAGCUCGUGCCGUGAGGUGUCAGGUUAAGUCCUAUAACGAGCGCAACCCCUGUUGUUAGUUGCCAGCGAGUCAUGUCGGGAACUCUAACAAGACUGCCGGUGCAAACCGUGAGGAAGGUGGGGAUGACGUCAAAUCAUCACGGCCCUUACGUCCUGGCCUACACACGUGCUACAAUGGUUAAGACAAAGAGUUGCGAGCUCGUGAGAGUAAGCUAA
rnacentral:rRNA from 1 species